ACGAGAAGACGUAAGGAACGGCUUAAAAUUUUAAAAAUAUGUAUAAAAUAUUAGAAAAUUCCACGACAUUAUUACUAAAGUAGCACUCGUAAUCAGGAUUAUUGGAUAAGUGUUAUAACGUUAUUUAAUUGAGAAACGGCACGAUAAGUGUUGAGAAAUUUAAUCGUAGAGAGAGAGAGAGAGAAAAUGCUCGAGUGAACAGUUAUGAAAAUUUUUCCUGGAGGAAUAAAUGCUAUUCUGUAGCAAACAUGCCAGGAAUGAGAUAUUCUCUCACCAACAGCCAUUUAAUGAACGAAUCCUUGGUAUUUAAAAUUCUUAUAUCAAUGAUAAGAUUAUUACAUUGUUCUGAACUUUAAUUACUGAAUUUGGAAUACUUGAAUAAGUAGAAUUUUAACUCUUCAACAUUUUACAACGUCAAAAAUUUCUUAAUUACUUUAAAUUUUUAUUCGAUUUAAUCAUUUACAUGCAAAUUCGUUUACACGUGAAAAUAAUUAAUUUUUCUACCAUUUCCUCUACAAUUAUUCCUCGUAAGAUUUUAAUUUAUAAGUUUUUUAAUAAAUAUUUUAAAUAUAAAUAAAGUUUUUCCGGCCUUUAAACGCCUUUAAGUCCUUAGAGGGUGGUCUAAAAAUCAGUUAACUGCGUGUUCUUCUGUUCUGGUGAAAGGAUAAAUUCUUGGGAAAUUUGAAUAAUAGUACGACUGUUAACUGAUUUUUGGACCACCCUAGGAAUAACUAAAGGAGGAAUUAGCUAACUUGAAUAUUUAUAGCGUUUUUAUUGAACGUAGAUACAGUAUUUACAUCCAGUUCUCAUCUUGAUUCUACACGUGCUAAAUUAAUCAUAUUAAUUUACAGUGAAUAUGAAUCAUGAACUGAAUUUAGAACAACGUUGGAUCCUUUUAGAAAAUUGAUUAAAGCAAAUAUUUGAAUAAAGAGCGAUGUGGAUUUUAUAAUGGUUAAUCGACUUUUGAGACAUAUAUUACAGGACUAAAUUAGUGGACGAUGCAUUCUCAUCAAUCACAUCUCGUCCACUGACCCUACGUCUGGAAACGGCACAUCUGGUGGCUGUCAAGAGAAAGUGGCACAUAGAGAGACAGGUGGCAUCUUCGCAUUGCUAACCACACCCAGUUGUAGAUAGAUAACUGUACGCCCUAAAGGACCAGGUGUGAACAUUAGAUUGCAUACAAUGCAAGUGACAGACCGUUCGAUUCCGAUCGCGUUUUAGACACAGAUUAAUUGCCUAAGGAUGAAAUAACCAAUAAUAUUCAUCCUUACAUUAAGGGGAAUAAUAUUAGUUUAUUAAUCGCCUCGAUAUUCUAUCUACCAUCCUUCUAUAUCUUUAUAUUAAAAUACAUAAAAAAGAAAAAAAUGUCAUUAAUAUUUAAAUAUUAAAAAAACGAAUUAAAAAA